AUUCCAGCUCCAAGAGCGUAUAUUAAAGUUGUUGCAGUUAAAAAGCUCGUAGUUGGAUUUCUGGUACAAUGCGCCUGGCCCGCGGCAGCAAUGCCUGUGAGUGCCGGUGCGCGUUGGCCAUCCUUCUAGAAAACGUUUCUACCAUUAACUUGGCUGGACUCGCGAUCUAGAUCUUUUACUUUGAAAAAAUUAGAGUGCUCAAAGCAAGCUUACUGCUUGAAUAGCUGCGCAUGGAAUAAUAGAAUAGGAAGUCGUUUCUAUUUUGUUGGUUUUCGGAAAUCUACUUAAUGAUUAAUAGGGAUAGUCGGGGGCAUUCGUAUUCAAACGACAGAGGUGAAAUUCUUGGACCGUUUGAAGACGAACUAAGGCGAAAGCAUUUGCCAAGAAUGUUUUCAUUG
rnacentral:rRNA from 1 species